AUGUCAACCAUUCAGGGGCGAGAUAUCCAGAUCACCUGUAACACUGGACCCUGGAGGGGCACUGGGGGCAGCAACGCGAAGGCUAUAAUCUGUGGGGUCGAGAUCACUAUGGAACAGGAUCAUGGGGGCCGGCGAGCUGAGCUUGGUCAGCGGCAGCGGCAGCUGCGUCGAAGCAGCUUGAGGAGUGGAGGUCAACAAUGGCGGCAACUCUUGGGUGGUGGGCAGAAGGCCUCGUGCAUUAUUUUUGUGGUUGGGAUGUUGGCACUUGGCACGUCAUAUUCAACCAAUCUAUCUCGAUUACAAGUUGUCAUGUAA
rnacentral:rRNA from 1 species